UACGUAGGCAGCGAGCGUUGUUCGGAGUUACUGGGCGUAAAGGGCGCGUAGGCGGCCUACUAAGUCGGACGUGAAAUCCCUCGGCUCAACCGGGGAACUGCGUCCGAUACUGGUGGGCUCGAAUCCGGGAGAGGGAUGUGGAAUUCCAGGUGUAGCGGUGAAAUGCGUAGAUAUCUGGAGGAACACCGGUGGCGAAGGCGGCAUCCUGGACCGGUAUUGACGCUGAUGCGCGAAAGCCAGGGGAGCAAACGGG
rnacentral:rRNA from 1 species